CAAUAGCGUAUAUUAAAGUUGUUGCGGUUAAAAAGCUCGUAGUUGGAUUUCUGUUGAGAACGUCCGGUCCGCACUAUGUGCGUGUAUCUGGUUCGGUCUUGGCAUCCUCUUGAGGAACGUAUCUGCGCUUGAUUGCGUGGAGCGGUAUUCAAGACUUUUACUUUGAGGAAAUUAGGGUGUUCACGGCAGGCAAGCGCCUUGAAUACGUUAGCAUGGAAUAAUAAUAUAGGAUCUUGGUUCUAUUUUGUUGGUUUCUAGGGCUAAGGUAAUGAUUAAUAGGGAUAAUUGGGGGCAUUUGUAUUAACGCGUCAGAGGUGGAAUUCUUGGAUUGCGUUACGACAAACUACUGCGAAAGCAUUUGCCAAGGAUGUUUUCAUUG
rnacentral:rRNA from 1 species